rnacentral:tRNA from 2 species
AUAGUUAAGCAUCUCCCUUACACCGAGAAGACAUCCAUGCAAGUUGGAUCGCCCUGAGCUAAACAGCUAG